rnacentral:rRNA from 1 species
UUUCCAUACACAUUAUGUGUGAGAGGCCCCCAGCCAGACCACUGGGUUGAUAGGCCGGAUGUGGAAGCGAGGACUAAAGACUCGUGAAGCUGACCGGUACUAAUAGGCCAACAACUUACACCACA